UACUCUGGACGUGCUGGUGGUUCGCUCUCCCGCGGCACGCGCCUGAAACAGCGGUCCGGGGCGGGCGAGGCAAGAGGGAACCCGGUGCGAAUCCGGGACUGCCCCGCAGCGGUGAGUGGGAACGAACGCCGCCCCCGGUCCCCAGGGACCGGGCAGCACUGGACCGAGGAGUCUGGGAAGCAGGCGGCCGGUAGGAGUAUCCGUCCCAAGGGCGGAAGGUGCCCGCGAGUCCGAAGACCUGCCACCGGCACGCGCACCGG
rnacentral:ncRNA from 1 species